GUGGGGAAUAUUGGACAAUGGGGGAAACCCUGAUCCAGCAAUGCCGCGUGGGUGACGAAGGCCUUAGGGUUGUAAAGCCCUUUCGGCGGGGAAGAUGAUGACGGUACCCGCAGAAGAAGCCCCGGCUAACUCCGUGCCAGCAGCCGCGGUAAUACGGAGGGGGCUAGCGUUGUUCGGAAUUACUGGGCGUAAAGGGCGUGUAGGCGGCCCGUCAAGUCAGGCGUGAAAGCCCUGGGCUUAACCUAGGAGGUGCGCUUGAAACUGAUGGGCUUGAGGCCGGGAGAGGAGAGUGGAAUUCCCAGUGUAGAGGUGAAAUUCGUAGAUAUUGGGAAGAACACCAGUGGCGAAGGCGGCUCUCUGGUCCGGUUCUGACGCUAAUGCGCGAAAGCGUGGGGAGCAAACAGG
rnacentral:rRNA from 1 species